rnacentral:tRNA from 1 species
CGGCUCGUGGAGGAACUUUAGGCAGACUCGCUGGAAUGAGAGUCCAGUGCGAAGUAAUAGUAGCGUGCGGGUUCGAGUCCCGCCGAGCCGA